rnacentral:rRNA from 1 species
CAGUAGCCACGGUAAUACGAAGGGUGCAAGCGUUACUCGGAAUUACUGGGCGUAAAGCGUGCGUAGGUGGUGGUUUAAGUCCGUUGUGAAAGCCCUGGGCUCAACCUGGGAAUUGCAGUGGAUACUGGAUCACUAGAGUGUGGUAGAGGAUAGUGGAAUUUCCGGUGUAGCAGUGAAAUGCGUAGAGAUCGGAAGGAACAUCUGUGGCGAAGGCGACUAUCUGGGCCAACACUGACACUGAGGCACGAAAGCGUGGGGAGCAAACAGGAUUAGAUACCCCAGUAGUCCCUGUCUCUUAUAC